rnacentral:rRNA from 1 species
GAUGAACGCUGGCGGCGUGCCUAAUACAUGCAAGUCGAGCGAACAGACGAGGAGCUUGCUCCUCUGACGUUAGCGGCGGACGGGUGAGUAACACGUGGAUAACCUACCUAUAAGACUGGGAUAACUUCGGGAAACCGGAGCUAAUACCGGAUAAUAUAUUGAACCGCACGGUUCAAUAGUGAAAGACGGUUUUGCUGUCACUUAUAGAUGGAUCCGCGCCGCAUUAGCUAGUUGGUAAGGUCACGGCUUACCAAGGCAACGAUGCGUAGCCGACCUGAGAGGGUGAUCGGCCACACUGGAACGGAGACACGGUCCAGACUCCUACGGGAGGCAGCAGUAGGGAAUCUUCCGCAAUGGGCGAAAGCUUGACGGAGCAACGCCGCGUGAGUGAUGAAGGUCUUCGGAGCGUAAAACUCUGUUAUUAGGGAAGAACAAAUGUGUAAGUAACUAUGCACGUCUUGACGGUACCUAAUCAGAAAGCCACGGCUAACUACGUG